rnacentral:rRNA from 1 species
UACGGAGGGAGCUAGCGUUGUUCGGAAUUACUGGGCGUAAAGCGCACGUAGGCGGCUUUGUAAGUUAGAGGUGAAAGCCCGGGGCUCAACCCCGGAAUUGCCUUUAAGACUGCAUCGCUUGAAUCCAGGAGAGGUGAGUGGAAUUCCGGAGUGGUAGAGGUGAAAUUCGUAGAUAUUCGGAAGAACACCAGUGGCGAAGGACGGCUGCACUGGACUGGUAUUGACGCUGAGGUGCGAAAGCGUGGGGAGCAAACAGGG